AAUGAACGCUGGCGGCGCGCCUAAUACAUGCAAGUCGAGCGAGAAGACGUAGCAAUACGUUUGUAAAGCGGCGAACGGGUGAGGAAUACAUGGGUAACCUACCCUCGAGUGGGGAAUAACUAGCCGAAAGGUUAGCUAAUACCGCGUACGCUCCUUGGACUUCGGUUCAGGGAGGAAAGCGAUACCGUGGGUAUCGCGCUCUUGGUUGGGCUCAUGUCCUAUCAGCUUGUUGGUGAGGAACGGCUCACCAAGGCUUCGACGGGUAGCUGGUCUGAGAGGACGAUCAGCCACACUGGCACUGCGACACGGGCCAGACUCCUACGGGGAGGCAGCAGUAAGGAAUAUUGCGCAAUGGGCGAAAGCCUGACGCAGCGACGCCGCGUGGGGGAUGAAGGUCUUCGGAUUGUAAACCCCUUUCGGGAGGGAAGAUGGAACGAGCAAUCGUUCGGACGGUACCUCCA
rnacentral:rRNA from 1 species